CCUACGGGGGGCAGCAGUGGGGGAUAUUGCACAAUGGGGGAAACCCUGAUGCAGCAACGCCGCGUGUGGGAAGAAGGUUUUCGGAUUGUAAACCACUGUUCUUGGUGAAGAUAAUUACGGUAACCAAGGAGAAAGCUCCGGCUAACUACGUGCCAGCAGCCGCGGUAAUACGUAGGGAGCAAGCGUUGUCCGGAUUUACUGGGUGUAAAGGGUGCGUAGGCGGUCUUGCAAGUCAGACGUGAAAACCACAGGCUCAACCUCUGCGAGCCGUUGAAACUGGUUUUCUUGAGUGAGUGAGAAGUCUGCGGAAUGGGUGGUGGAGCGGUGAAAUGCAUAGAUAUCACGCAGAAAUCCGAUUGCGAAGGCAGCAUAGCGGCGCUCAACUGACGCUCAUGCACGAAAGUGGGGGUAUCGAACAGGAUUAGAUACCCUUGUAGUU
rnacentral:rRNA from 1 species